rnacentral:rRNA from 1 species
GACGUAGGGCGCGAGCGUUGUCCGGAUUUAUUGGGCGUAAAGAGCUCGUAGGCGGCUUGUCGCGUCGACUGUGAAAUCCCGCGGCUCAACUGCGGGUCUGCAGUCGAUACGGGCAGGCUAGAGUUCGGUAGGGGAGACUGGAAUUCCUGGUGUAGCGGUGAAAUGCGCAGAUAUCAGGAAGAACACCCGUGGCGAAGGCGGCUCUCUGGUACGCGACUGACGCUGAGACGCGAAAGCGUGGGGAGCAAACAGG